AACUUUUGACAAUGGAUCACUUGGUUCUCCCAUCGAUGAAGAACGCAGCGAAACGCGAUAGGUAAUGUGAAUUGCAGAAUUCCGUGAAUCAUCGAAUCUUUGAACGCACCUUGCGCUCCAUGGCAUUCCGUGGAGCAUGCCUGUUUGAGUGCCGCGAAAUCUCCCACCCCUAGCGGUUGCCGCAAGGCGCCGCCGGGCGGCGGGGUUGGUUGGGUGCCGCUGCCUGGGCUUUGGCCCAGGCUCGCCCGAAAUGCAUGAGCGCUUAGCACUCGCACCGUCUCGAGGGAAGGCGGCGGAGCUGGCAUCUGCGCAUGGCAUGAUACGUCAUUUGCUGUGUGGCAGCCCAGCGACCCGAGAGUGUGUGUGCGCUACUACACGCCCUUUCAUUUCUGGUCUCAAAUCAGGUAGGAUCACCCGCUGAACUUAAGCAUAUCAAUAAGCGGAGGCU
rnacentral:misc_RNA from 1 species